UACGGGGGGGGCAAGCGUUGUUCGGAAUUACUGGGCGUAAAGGGCUCGUAGGUGGCCAACUAAGUCGGACGUGAAAUCCCUCGGCUUAACCGGGGAACUGCGUCCGAUACUGGUUGGCUUGAGUUUGGGAGAGGGAUGCGGAAUUCCAGGUGUAGCGGUGAAAUGCGUAGAUAUCAGGAGGAACACCGAUAGCGAAGGCAGCUCGCUGGGACGGUACUGACGCUGAGACGCGAAAGCGUGGGAGGCGAACAGG
rnacentral:rRNA from 1 species